rnacentral:rRNA from 1 species
CUGCGGCUGCUACCAUGCAAGUCGAACGGUAACAGGAAGAAGCUUGCUUCUUUGCUGACGAGUGGCCCGACGGGUGAGUAAUGUCUGGGAAACUGCCUGAUGGAGGGGGAUAACUACUGGAAACGGUAGCUAAUACCGCAUAACGUCGCAAGACCAAAGAGGGGGACCUUCGGGCCUCUUGCCAUCGGAUGUGCCCAGAUGGGAUUAGCUAGUAGGUGGGGUAACGGCUCACCUAGGCGACGAUCCCUAGCUGGUCUGAGAGGAUGACCAGCCACACUGGAACUGAGACACGGUCCAGACUCCUACGGGAGGCAGCAGUGGGGAAUAUUGCACAAUGGGCGCAAGCCUGAUGCAGCCAUGCCGCGUGUAUGAAGAAGGCCUUCGGGUUGUAAAGUACUUUCAGCGGGGAGGAAGGGAGUAAAGUUAAUACCUUUGCUCAUUGACGUUACCCGCAGAAGAAGCACCGGCUAACUCCGUGCCAGCAGCCGCGGUAAUACGGAGGGUGCAAGCGUUAAUCGGAAUUACUGGGCGUAAAGCGCACGCAGGCGGUUUGUUAAGUCAGAUGUGAAAUCCCCGGGCUCAACCUGGGAACUGCAUCUGAUACUGGCAAGCUUGAGUCUCGUAGAGGGGGGUAGAAUUCCAGGUGUAGCGGUGAAAUGCGUAGAGAUCUGGAGGAAUACCGGUGGCGAAGCGGCCCCCUGGACGAGACUGACGCUCAGUGCGAAAGCGUGGGGGAGCAACAGAUUAGAUACCUGUAGUCACGCCGUAACGAUGUCGACUUGAGUGUGCCUUGAGCGUGCUUCGGAGCUAACGCGUUAA